rnacentral:rRNA from 1 species
ACGGCGCCAAACCUCCUCCGGGAGGGCAGCAGUUAGGGGAUUUUUCCCCCAAUGGACGGGAAGUUUGAUGGGGCAACGCCCCCUGGAGUGAAGAAAGGUUUCCGCUCGUUAAACCUGUUGUUUAAAAAAGAACAUAUUUUAGGGUAACGGUUCAGGUAUUGACGGUAUUUACCCAGAAAGCCCCGGCUAACUUCGUGCCAGCAGCCGCGGUAAUACGUAGGUGGCAAGCGUUGUCCGGAUUUAUUGGGCGUAAAGCGAGCGCAGGCGGUUUUUUAAGUCUGAUGUGAAAGCCUUCGGCUCACCCGAAGAAGUGCAUCGGAAACUGGGAAACUUGAGUGCAGAAGAGGACAGUGGAACUCCAUGUGUAGCGGUGAAAUGCGUAGAUAUAUGGAAGAACACCAGUGGCGAAGGCGGCUGUCUGGUCUGUAACUGACGCUGAGGCUCGAAAGUAUGGGUAGCAAACAGGAUUAGAUACCCUGGUAGUCCAUACCGUAAACGAUGAAUGCUAAGUGUUGGAGGGUUUCCGCCCUUCAGUGCUGCAGCUAACGCAUUAAGCAUUCCGCCUGGGGAGUACGGCCGCAAGGCUGAAACUCAAAGGAAUUGACGGGGGCCCGCACAAGCGGUGGAGCAUGUGGUUUAAUUCGAAGCUACGCGAAGAACCUUACCAGGUCUUGACAUACUAUGCAAAUCUAAGAGAUUAGACGUUUCCUUCGGGGACAUGGAUACAGGUGGUGCAUGGUUGUCGUCAGCUCGUGUCGUGAGAUGUUGGGUUAAGUCCCGCAACGAGCGCAACCCUUAUUAUCAGUUGCCAGCAUUAAGUUGGGCACUCUGGUGAGACUGCCGGUGACAAACCGGAGGAAGGUGGGGAUGACGUCAAAUCAUCAUGCCCCUUAUGACCUGGGCUACACACGUGCUACAAUGGAUGGUACAACGAGUUGCGAACUCGCGAGAGUAAGCUAAUCUCUUAAAGCCAUUCUCAGUUCGGAUUGUAGGCUGCAACUCGCCUACAUGAAGUCGGAAUCGCUAGUAAUCGCGGAUCAGCAUGCCGCGGUGAAUACGUUCCCGGGCCUUGUACACACCGCCCGUCACACCAUGAGAGUUUGUAACACCCAAAGUCGGUGGGGUAACCUUUUAGGAACCAGCCGCCUUAAUGGA